CCUACGGGAGGCAGCAGUGAGGAAUAUUGGUCAAUGGCCGGAAGGCUGAACCAGCCAUGCCGCGUGAAGGUCAGUGCCCUAUGGGCGUUAAACUUCUUUUGUGCGGGAGCAAUAAUGGUCACGUGUGGCCAGACGAGAGUACCGUACGAAUAAGCAUUGGCUAACUCCGUGCCAGCAGCCGCGGUAAUACGGGGGAUGCAAGCGUUAUCCGGAUUUAUUGGGUUUAAAGGGUGCGUAGGCUGGGAGGUAAGUCAGCGGUGAAAUGCCCCCGCUCAACGGGGUGAAGUGCCAUUGAUACUGCCUGGCUGGAAUGCGGAUGCCGUGGGAGGAAUGUGUGGUGUAGCGGUGAAAUGCAUAGAUAUCACACAGAACACCGAUUGCGAAGGCAUCUCACGAAGCCGCGAUUGACGCUGAUGCACGAAAGCGUGGGUAUCAAACAGGAUUAGAUACCCCUGUAGUC
rnacentral:rRNA from 1 species